GGGUGCAUAAUAGUGUUCCCCCCUCACAUGUGUCGGGCCCAUAUUUGGUGGGCUCGGGACAUGUGAGGGGGGGACACCAUUAUGCACCUCCCUUUAUGUAC
rnacentral:miRNA from 1 species